rnacentral:tRNA from 1 species
GGGGAGUUAGCUCAGCGGUAGAGCGCUUGCCUAGCGAGCGCAAGGCCCUGGGUUCGGUCCCCAGCUCCUUA